AAAUGAAUUGACGGGGGCCCGCACAAGCGGUGGAGCAUGUGGUUUAAUUCGAUGAUACGCGAAGAACCUUACCUGGGCUUGAACUGCACCUGACAGACGCAGAGAUGCGUUUUCCUUCGGGCAUGUGCAGAGGUGCUGCAUGGUUGUCGUCAGCUCGUGUCGUGAGAUGUUGGGUUAAGUCCCGCAACGAGCGCAACCCUUACUCCCUGUUGCCAUCGGGUAAUGCCGGGCACUCUGGGGGAACUGCCGGUGACAAACCGGAGGAAGGUGGGGAUGACGUCAAAUCAUCACGGCCCUUAUGUCCAGGGCUACACACGUGCUACAAUGGCCGGUACAAAGAGAGGCGAUGUCGCGAGGCGGAGCAAAUCUCAGAAAACCGGUCUCAGUUCGGAUCGGAGUCUGCAACUCGACUCCGUGAAGUUGGAAUCGCUAGUAAUCGCGGAUCAGCACGCCGCGGUGAAUACGUUCCCGGGCCUUGUACACACCGCCCGU
rnacentral:rRNA from 1 species